rnacentral:rRNA from 1 species
UACAGAGGUCUCAAGCGUUGUUCGGAUUCAUUGGGCGUAAAGGGUGCGUAGGUGGCGCGGUAAGUCGGGGUGUGAAAUCUCGGAGCUUAACUCCGAAAUUGCAUUCGAUACUGCCGUGCUUGAGGACUGGAGAGGAGACUGGAAUUCAUGGUGUAGCAGUGAAAUGCGUAGAGAUCAUGAGGAAGACCAGUGGCGAAGGCGGGUCUCUGGACAGUUCCUGACACUGAGGCACGAAGGCCAGGGGAGCAAACGGG